rnacentral:rRNA from 1 species
AGCCGAUACUCACGCACACACAAACAUACUACCUUACUCAAACAAAACAUUUGCCUUAACCUAGUAGAUGCGAUCAAACAGUAAAUCCAACAACAUAGUACCGCAAGGGAACAUUUUAAGCAAUAAAAAGCAAAGAUAAACCCUUGUACCUUUUGUAUCAKGGUUUAGCAAGAAAAACAAGACAAGAAGAAUCAUAGCCUCCACCCCGAAACCAGAUGAGCUACUUUAUAGCAGCCUACUGGGCACACCCGUCUCUGUAGCAAAAGAGUGGGACGACUUAAAAGUAGAGGUGAAAUGCCUAUCGAAUCUGGAGAUAGCUGGCUACCCAAAAAAGAAUCUAAGUUCAACCCUAGACCAAAAUCAAUCACUACUUAUUGUCUAAGGAUAAUCAAUAGGGGUACAGCCCUAUUGAAACAGGAUACAACCUGAAUUUGAGAGGAACAAUACUAAUAUUACCCCGUAGGCCCUUAAGCAGCCACCCAACAAAAUAUCGUUAAAGAAUUCAACCAAUAAACCCAACACUAACACAAAACUCCAAACCAACUAAAGGUAAACCCAUAUACAUGGGUGUUAUUAUGCUAAAACUAAUAAUCAGACAGCCUCUCUUUAUGCACCUGUCCACUAAGCCCGGAUAAACCACUAGUCAUUAACAGACCAUAAUAGGCACCAUCAAACCAAUAUUCACCCCACAACAGACUGUGACCCCAACACAGGCACAUUAAAAAGAAAGAUCAAACAUUAUAAAAGGAACUCGGCAAACACAGACCCCAACUGUUUAACAAAAACAUAACCUUUAGCCAAACAAAUAUUAAAGGCAAUGCCUGCCCAGUGAACAAUUAAACGGCCGCGGUACCUAAC